UAGUAAAACCGAAGCUAUUAGUUAUGCGAUUCUUGCAACCAUACGUCCUAUAAUUCAGUAAUCUAACAACUUGAUCAAUUAAACAAGAAUACCACAUUGAUUAAUACUCAUGCCAUUUCAAGGAUCUUAGAUUUGUAAUCUAAUAGGAAACAAUCUUAAUAAUGCCUACCUCUAUCAUUCUUAUAGCAGGAAAAUAUAUAAUUAACGUUGAACUAAAAUACAAAUAUACUAUAACUAAGUACAUAAAUUUCUGCCAUUUUAAUUUCAUCUUCAAGGCGUACAUCAAAGUGAUUCAAAGUGGUGUACCUGGUAUUGGAAUACAAAGAAGAUGAAGAUCAGUAGGAAGCAAUAGCAACACACACACAACAACAAUGGUUCAACAGCACAGGGGUAACCCAAUAACUGCGAGAAUAUAAAAAAAAACAGGAGAUUGCAACCAAGCAAGAAAACCAAGCACAUGCAAAUUGUAAAACCUAACCAAUAAUAAACCCAAGCAACUAUACUUUAAUACCAGUAAUACUAGAAAACAAACCAGACCAACAAAGAAGUAUCCAGUUGUCAAAAAAUAACUUCUGAUUUUUAUCGGUUAAGAAAAAGAAGCUUGAAGCUUUAAUGAACAAUAACAGUUGAUGCCAAUUGUUAACAGUGAUGAAGAAUAGAUUUUUUUUUUAAUUUCUAACUUUCAAACACUCAAGAAUUCUUAAGAUUCCAAAGUCUUUUUCCUUUUUUCCCUCUAGUACUGAAAAUAUUUUUUUCUCUCAGUUCCAGUCCCCUUUAAGUGUCAAAUGAAUCCUAUUUUAUAUUAAAAGCCAGACUCUUUUUUCUACUCUUUAAUUAUUAACUUCUUACUUUUUUACUAUUAUUACUAAUCAUUUUACCUCUUUUUUACUUUUUUACACCAAUAUUCUUCUACUAUGUACUUUUAUUAUUACCUACACUAUUUCUGAUUUUUAAUUGAGCAAAAAUUUCAACAUGAACCCCACAAUCCCCCCUUUUUCAAUGGUCAAAGAAGACCACAUUAUUACCCCCUCUUUACAUAAUUAUGUCUAGUCCCUUACUAUAGUAUUUUAAUAAUACUUUAAUCUAGUGGAUAAAGCACUUAAAUUAAAUAAUUUGUCCAAAUUUUCAAUCCCAAAAAUACCCCUGAAACUACUAAAAUUACUGUUCUACUCUUCAGCUAUAUCCAAUCCUUCCUAAUCAAUUAACCAAAAUACAGCAGCUAUAACCAAUUCACCUAAUCAAUUGAAACAAUUAAUCUCAAGCUCGAAACUCAGUUCAGAUCAAAUAGCUAAGUGAGCAAAUUCAAAACUACGGAGAACAAUUAAAGAAUCAACGGGACCAUAUCACCAAUAUAAUAAUUAUUACCAAGCUUGAAUAAUUAUUACCAAAUUUACUUUAGCUACUAAGAUUUCACCAGAAUAUACACAAACAAUACUAAAAAAUAACCAAAACAAAAAUAAAUCAAACAAAUUAUACCAAGGCAUCACGAGCCAAAACUAAACAUUAAUUCAAAGGUCAACACAAUGAAAGCAGCAAUGAAAGCAUUUUAAUAUCCAAUAAUGAAAGCAGUAAAAGAAACAUCGGAUCCUAUAAAUGGCUAACAUGCAUUAACUCAAACACCUGUUAACUUGGCCCUAACUAACAUAUAUCUUUUUAUCUCAAUUUGACCAAGUAUAUCAUCACAAGCACUUGAUUAAGAUCAUUUUAUCUACAAUAAGCUUGUGAAGGAAAGUUGUGAUUCAUGGACAUUCGUAAGGGACUAUUAAGGAUUAACUGGAUCUCAAACGUUAUAGAAGAAUAAACUAACUAACAAAUAAAAUUUACAACUGAUUCAGUUUCAUCUUCCGAAAAUAAAUUCAUGUCAUCAUGAAACUUAACUUCAGAUUCAUAAGGAAUAAGAAAAAAUACCUAAUGGAUUCAAAAUAAACUUGUCAGAACAAAAACUCCGGCGGAAAUGAGCAGUUGUUUUCCGGCGAAAAAAUGAGCCUCCUUGUCCUGGAUCUUUGUCGUUAAGCAAAAGAAAAAAUGUAGGAGAGGUGUCCCGGUUCGUGAAGAAGAAGACGAACUGGUCGUUGGGGAUGG
rnacentral:lncRNA from 1 species